rnacentral:rRNA from 1 species
GUGCCAGCCGCCGCGGUAAUACGUAGGGGGCUAGCGUUGUCCGGAAUCAUUGGGCGUAAAGCGCGCGUAGGCGGCCCGGUAAGUCCGUUGUAAAAGUCAAAGGCUCAACCUUUGAAAGCCGAUGGAUACUGCCGGGCUCGAGUCCGGAAGAGGCGAGUAGAAUUCCUGGUGUAGCGGUGGAAUGCGCAGAUAUCAGGAGGAAUACCCAUAGCGAAGGCAGCUCGCUGGGACGGUACUGACGCUAAGGCGCGAAAGCGUGGGGAGCGAACAGGAUUAGAAACCCUCGUAGUCC